rnacentral:rRNA from 1 species
GAUGUAGGGCGCGAGCGUUGUCCGGAUUUAUUGGGCGUAAAGAGCUCGUAGGCGGUUUGUCGCGUCGUUCGUGAAAACUCACAGCUCAACUGUGAGCUUGCGGUCGAUACGGGCAGGCUAGAGUUCGGUAGGGGAGACUGGAAUUCCUGGUGUAGCGGUGAAAUGCGCAGAUAUCAGGAGGAACACCGGUGGCGAAGGCGGGUCUCUGGGCCGAUACUGACGCUGAGGAGCGAAAGCGUGGGGAGCGAACAGG